AUGGCUUUUGGCCUUUUGGCUAAGAUCAAGUGUAGUAUCUGUUCUUAUCAGUGGUCUAGUCUCUGCCAUUGAUGUAGGAUGGAUGCUGCAUGGAGGGGGCAGGUGCCCGGGGCAUUACGGGGCUGGUUCUGAGGAAUCAGCUCGACGGCUGCUCUGAUGUGACCUGUUCGCUCCAGGUCUCACCAUGA